rnacentral:rRNA from 1 species
UACAGAGGUGGCAAGCGUUGUUCGGAAUUACUGGGCGUAAAGGGCGCGUAGGCGGUUCGUUAAGUCCUGUGUGAAAUCCCUCGGCUUAACCGGGGAACUGCGUCUGAUACUGGAUGGCUUGAGUGUGGGAGAGGGAUGCGGAAUUCCAGGUGUAGCGGUGAAAUGCGUAGAUAUCUGGAGGAACACCGGUGGCGAAGGCGGCAUCCUGGACCAUUACUGACACUGAAUAGCGAAAGCCAGGGGAGCAAACGGG